rnacentral:rRNA from 1 species
GGCGGCUGCCUAUACAUGCAAGUCGAGCGAACAGAUAAGGAGCUUGCUCCUUUGACGUUAGCGGCGGACGGGUGAGUAACACGUGGAUAACCUACCUAUAAGACUGGGAUAACUUCGGGAAACCGGAGCUAAUACCGGAUAAGAUUUUGAACCGCAUGGUUCAAUAGUGAAAGACGGCCUUGCUGUCACUUAUAGAUGGAUCCGCGCCGUAUUAGCUAGUUGGUAAGGUAACGGCUUACCAAGGCAACGAUACGUAGCCGACCUGAGAGGGUGAUCGGCCACACUGGAACUGAGACACGGUCCAGACUCCUACGGGAGGCAGCAGUAGGGAAUCUUCCGCAAUGGGCGAAAGCCUGACGGAGCAACGCCGCGUGAGUGAUGAAGGUCUUCGGAUCGUAAAACUCUGUUAUCAGGGAAGAACAAACGUGUAAGUAACUGUGCACGUCUUGACGGUACCUGAUCAGAAAGCCACGGCUAACUACGUGCCAGCAGCCGCGGUAAUACGUAGGUGGCAAGCGUUAUCCGGAAUUAUUGGGCGUAAAGCGCGCGUAGGCGGUUUUUUAAGUCUGAUGUGAAAGCCCACGGCUCAACCGUGGAGGGUCAUUGGAAACUGGAAAACUUGAGUGCAGAAGAGGAAAGUGGAAUUCCAUGUGUAGCGGUGAAAUGCGCAGAGAUAUGGAGGAACACCAGUGGCGAAGGCGACUUUCUGGUCUGUAACUGACGCUGAUGUGCGAAAGCGUGGGGAUCAAACAGGAUUAGAUACCCUGGUAGUCCACGCCGUAAACGAUGAGUGCUAAGUGUUAGGGGGUUUCCGCCCCUUAGUGCUGCAGCUAACGCAUUAAGCACUCCGCCUGGGGCAGUACGACCGCAACGUUGAAACUCACAGGAAAUGACGGGGACCCGCACAAGC